GUGCGGUCUCCGCCGAGUCCGGUGCGCCCACGUGGCAGCCGGAGCCGGGGACCCAACCGAACUUGGGGUGAAUCGGUCCAACUGUCCGCUGGGACAAGGACCGUAGGGCAAACCUUCCGGAAGCACCCGCCCGAACCCGACAGCUAACUCGGUAGGCGGAUGACGGAAGGAGUC
rnacentral:sRNA from 2 species